UGUGGCCAGCUUGUAUCCGGCGCCGCCCCAGCAACAGCUGCAGCAGCAACAGCAGCAGCAGCAGCGGGGCGGUGAUGGCGGCUGGGGGGCCGCGGCCGGUGGCGCCGCCGCGGGUGUGCCCCAGGAGCACGCGCGCCGGCCGCAGCUGCACUUCGCAGCGGGGCAUGCUCUACAGCAGCAGCAGCAGCAGCAGCAGCAGCAGCUGCAGCAGCAGCAGCAGCAGCUGCAGCAGGUGGUGGGGCAGCAGCAGGCGCAUCAGGCAGGGCUGCAGCAGCUGCCUUUCUGGGUGCUGGCGCAGUUGCCGCCCGCGGUGCUUGUGCGGCUGCAGCACAUCAGCGCGUCAGACCCCGCGGGCUGGCAGGAGCUGCUGCAGCGGCUGCUGUGCCCGCCGCAGCACGUUCAGCAGGGGCAGGAGCAGCACUAGCCGUCUGGGAUAUACGAAGAGGCAGCGGCGGGGCGGCGUGAUGGGCAGGUGGCCUUGCCAGCCGCAGAAGCCAAUGCCGUCCUAUGUGCUUGAAGCGUUGCUUGCUGAGGGGCACUGCCUUGCGAUGGGCCGAUUCGCUGAAUACGAAAGGGGAGCUAGCGUCAUGCGCCGCAGUUACUUCCAUUCAUGUAGUAUGGGUAGCGGUCCUCUUGUUAGGGCCAUCGCGAGGGCCGCGGGCCCAAUUUAAUCGCGUGUGUAGCGCACUUUCGAGUCGUGGAGGUGGGUGAUUGGGCGGGUGGGUGCAUGGGUGCGUAGGGCACAUGCACGCCAUGUUGUCGGGAAAUGCGCGAUCAAGAUAUUCAGUAUCAACGGUGAGUUCUAGCGUUACACGGAUACGCUAAAUGAUUACGCAUGGAUGCAAGUUUACGAUCGGGAACAGCCUUGCCGUGCAGAGACCACUUAGUGCUUCGCCGGACCAAAGUAGCGUGAGCUUAGCCCCAACCCCACCCCCAAACAACUUCGUGGUGCCUGGGGAAGGGCCUUGGGCAACCCUGGUCUUGGCUUUGCCAGGCCCGGAUGUAAGCUUCAUGUUAGUGCAUACACGUCAAUAAAGCUCAGCUGUAAUCAGUGGAGCAGGCAGGCGAGGUCGCGAGGAUAAUGGCCUGCCGUCCAACAAGUGUGCCUGACCUACCGGAAGACUCCUUAACCCCCCAACCCUGUUCACAUUGCCGGUUGCAAGAACCCAGGGGUGCAAGAACCUGUCGGGCGCUUUUGAAGCGGAGAAAGCCAGGAGGCGGAAAUUACGUGCGCCCGGGACCUAGGCACGCACUACCAUCGAUACUCAGUUUCGCACUCUUGAGCCUUAACAUCUGUGUAACAGCUCACAACACGACGUCGCACUGGUGGUGCGUGUGUGAGGGUGUGAGGGUGUUCUGUGUGUGUGUGUGUGUGUGGGGGGGGGGGUGUUCUGUGUGUGUGUGUGGGGGGGGGGGGGGGUGUACACCAUGCUCGUACAGUAAUGCUGCAAAGUGCCGCCGCUGCGGGCCUGCGGCGCCGUGAGCUACGUACAGCUGCUCGAUAGUGUUCCAGCGGACGCACUGGGACGGGAAUCACAGUAAAUGGGGCGCGACUAGAGCGCCACUAACGAACCAUGACGCCAUGAGUGCCGCGCAUGCAAUGUCACCUGGCUUUUGGCACCCAUCAUAGCCGAGGGGCCAAAACAAAAUCGGGCAUGCUCAGCUCUUUUAAUGCCCGCUUUGAGCGUAGAACCUGAUUCUGACAAGGUAGCUGCAGCGAGUUGGACCUUCCGACGACCACUUUAGAGCAGGACAACCGAGGCUAAGUUCAUUCAUAUACUUUGAGAGUUUGAAGUAGCGGCCAUGUCGGGCCGAGGCCGAGGCGGUGAGCUCCAAUGGCACAGCACAGUCGGUCAUUUCGCUCGUGCACUCGCGAAGCUGCCUCAUGCUCCGCGCUUCAUGUUCUUACAGGAGGUGGAGGCUAUGGCGGAGGCUACGGCGGAGGCGGGGGAGGUGAGGGCCCGCCGGGACCCAGGGGCUUGAUAUCGCGGUCACGGGUGGUUAGCGGCAAUGGUCAGCGGUGCUAGCAGGCUGCUGCUGCUGCUGUUGCACCCGCGGCUAGCGCGGUAGCUGACAAUGCGGAGGCUAGCCAGGUAAAGGGUCCGCGGCGCUCCCGCCGCGGACAGCGCUGCUGCUUCAACGCGGCAGCUGUUCGUGUGCCGGCGCUGGGUUGUUCAUGGCUUCAUCAUGCAUAGCAGACUACUCAUGGCAGUGACUCGCUAGGGCUGCGGCGGGGCGGCAGCCUGGCAGGGCGGACUCGCAGGUCGGCGCGCGGCCUGCUGCUGCUGCUGCUGCUGCUGCUGCUGCUGCUGCGGUGGCGCCGCCGCCGCGACCGCGGCCUGCUUGGUCGCGGGCCGCCUAAAGAACUAGGCACGACUGUUUGUAUGUUCAGGCAUGGCCGUGUGGACUUGUCAUAGCCCUGCAUAGCUGCUAGUCUUCCGCGCCAAACUGGACUGCGCAAUGCAACUGCUCCUGCUGCAGGCUCCCGCGGCGGCGGCGGCGGCGGUGGGAGCGGUGGCGGCGACCGAGGAUACGGCGGUGGCGGCGGCGGCCGCGGAGGUGGCGGCUAUGGUGGCGGCAGCGCUGGCGGCGGUGGCUACGGUGGCGGCGGCGGUCGGGGCGGCGGAGGCGGCGGAGGCGGCUAUGGUGGAGGCGGCGGCGGCCGCGGAGGUGCGUGUGCUCCACGAACCAAUCGAUAUCUCAACAUUCCCGACCCACAUCGUGUCCCCAUGCCCGCACGGUCCGUACUGCCGCCCCCUGCCGUCAACCCCGGACGCAUGCAUGUGUUCACGCAUGUCUGUGUUCACGCAUGUGUGGUCACGCAUGUGUGGUCACGCAUGUGUGGUCACGCAGGCGGUGGCGGCGGCGGCGGCGUGGUGAGCCCGCAGCAGGCGGCGGCGACGCUGGACGUGGUCCUCAAGUCGGCCCGGACCCUGACCGCCAAAGUCAACGUGAGUGGCAGCCCCACGUGGCAGCUCGGCAGCCCGGGAAGCGCACGUUGCGCCGCCGCGGAUGCGUGCGUGGGUCAGUCCAAACCCCAUAGGGGGUUUGUAGAUCCCAGCCCAAACUAAACCGGGGGGAGGUGGGGUUGUAGAUACCAGCCCAAACUAAACCGAACCCAAUGCAAACGAGCGAGUGAUGAGGGUGUUGGGCCGCACGUGGUGCUGUUGUCGUGCCCCCCUGGGUCUGGAUCUGGGUCUGGGUCUGGGUCUGGAUCUGGGUCCGAGUUUGUGUGUGUCCGCCUGAGUGUGUUGUCCAUCAAUGAGCCCAAUGCGCGGUCUCAUCCCCCGAGGCACACGCGCCACACACCCACGAAUACACGCACGCCCCGCCACGCCACAGCACGCCUCUCGCCCCACACCGCGAGGGCCCGGCCCCCGCCCCCUCCCCCGCCCCCCCCACCGCCACCACCCCCGCGCUCUGGAUGGGGCCGGCGUGCUUGAGGUCCACUCGGUUGGCUCGCUCUUGAUUCGGUAAUAAACCUACCGCUCCCCCUCCCCGUCCCUUAUCCCCCGACGGCACCAGGUGGAGACGACGCCCGACGGCCGGCCGCUGGGCAUCACGCGCCGCCCCAACGCCGGCACCGUUGGCAAGGCGGUGGCGCUGCUGGCCAAUUACUUCGCACUGGCCACCACACCCGCCUUCCCGGGGCAGGUGAGGCCGGGCAGGGGGAAGCGAGGUGGGGAUGAGAAUACCAGCCCAUAACUAAAGCAAAGCAAGCCGAUGGCGGGCGGGGCAGUCUCUUUUACUUCAGUUCCCCCUCCUAGUGCGGGCCCCAGGGCCAGGCGCGGUACGGGAUGCGGUCAGGUCGGGUCAGGCCCUGUCUGGUCUGAUCUGGUCCGGUCUGGUCUGGUCCGGUCUGGCACACUGCUGUGGCGGCUUUCAGGCACGCACUGGCUUCCCCCACCACGGUGACGUCGGCGCCUCCAAGAUUGCAUGUUGUCAACGCCUUUUUCAACUGAUCAUGCCCAUCCCCUCCCAAGUGAUUUCAUCGCUUCGUUCUUCACAUGCACUGCUAUCCCCCUCAUCCCCCUCCCCACUUCCUUAACUAAUCAUGAAUGUAACCCCACCCCCAGGCCUACCACUACGAUGUGGAGAUACGCUCCGUUGAAGAGGCGGCAGGAGGUGAGGGCGUGUGUGUGUAUAGGUGUGUGUGUAGAUACCAGCCCAAACUGAGCUUACCCUGAUGCAAAAGAGCGCGGAGAAGAGCGUGGCUCAUGCUGUGACGGAGCGGAAUUCCACAGUAGUCUCCACGAGGUCUGGGCGUGUCGAUAGGGCGGGAGGCCGGGGAUGGGUAUCAUACCUGAACUGGCUUGACCUGAUCUGAUCUGAUCUACUGUCGUACCCUGCCGUAUCACAGGAGGAGGAGGCGGCGGCCGUGGCGGCGGCCGUGGCGGCGGCGGCGGCGGCGGCGGCGGGCGCGGGGGCCGGCGUGACCUGGCGCCUGCUAGUGCUACUGGCGACGUGCCGGGUGGCGCCGCCGCCGCCGCCGCCGCUGAGGACCUGCCGCCGCGGCUGGCGCACCGCGUGAUGGCGGCGGCGGCGGCGGCGCACGGCUGGCCGGCGGGGGCGUGGCGGUUUGAUGGGCGGAAGAACCUGUUCCUGCCGGGGGAGGUGAGCUGGAGGGUAGGGGGAGGGGGAGCGGGAGGGUUGCAGAUACCAGUCGAACGUAAACCGAACCGAAAAGCGGGAGGGGGAUGGGGAGCGGAAGGUGAGCACGGAGAGGGGAGCGGGAGGGGAGGGGUGUCAGCCUCCCUCGGCCCCCACUGCCUGACCCACACCACGUCAGUGAUCUGGGUCGGGCAGUGGCGGCCGCGAUCCGCAUUCCAACACCCUCGAGGACGGGAACCGUUGAGUGCUGGCAUUCCGCAAUCAAUACACUCAACAUCUGGGGCGGGUCCCUUGCCUGGCUGACGUGUUAAGCCCCUCCCCCCCCCCCAUUCAAAUACUCUGUUCUCGUGCUGCGUCCCCACCCACAACCACCUCUGUAACGUGCCCUCCCUCCUGCUAGCCUGUCCAUUUAUUCCACACCGCCCCCUCUCCUCUUCUCCUCUCCUCCCUCCGCCCCGCCCCGCAGCUGCUGCCGCGCGAGGUGCGGGAGUGGCCUGUGACGCUCAAGCCGCGCGAGGGCGACAAGAGCGAGCGCGACAAGGGCUUCGUGGUGGCUACCAAGUGGGCGGCGUGUGUGGGGCUGACGCAGCUGCAGGACUACCUGGCGCAGAGGCAGCAGACGGCGCCGCGCGACGCCAUGCAGGUGUGGUGUGUGUGGGGGGGGUGGGAUGGGUGGAGGUGUGUGUGUGUGUGUGUUAAACAAAAACAAACGGAACAAUUCCGCCAUACACGCGCGCGCAGUUACCCACAAAUACCUACGCCAGUAACCGAGCUCCGCGUGUGUGUGUGUGGGGGGGGGGGGGGGGGGCUGGGGGGGGAAGGGUGUGAGGUUUGGCGGCGGUCGGGGGGGGGGGGGGUUCGGGGUGAUUAGGCUGAACAGGAGCACUCGGGCCCUUUCCUUCCCUGCCUGCAAAUCACUGCCCAAAACCAUUUUGGUUGGGGUCUUACAAUUCCCUUGUAUGAUUUGGUCCCCCUCCCUCCCCCCCCCCCCCCCAAAAACGCUGCCCCCAUUUCCCCCUCCCUCCCCGCAGGUGCUGGACAUUGUGAUCCGGCACGCCUUCCCAAUCAACCCGCGCUGCACCGGGGGGGGCCGCGGUUUCUACUACGGCGGGAAGGGGGUGAUGCCCCUGGGGGGCGGCCCAAAAGUGNNNNNNNNNNNNNNNNNNNNNNNNNNNNNNNNNNNNNNNNNNNNNNNNNNNNNNNNNNNNNNNNNNNNNNNNNNNNNNNNNNNNNNNNNNNNNNNNNNNNGGGGGGGGGGGUUCGUGGUGAUUAGGCUGAGCAGGAGCACUCGGGCCCUUUCCUUCCCUGCCUGCAAAUCACUGCCCAGAACCAUUUUGGUUGGGGUCUUACAAUUCGCUUGUAUGAUUUGGUCCCCCUCCCUCCCCCCCCCCCCCCCACACACGCUGCCCCCACUUCCCCCUCCCUCCCCGCAGGUGCUGGACAUUGUGAUCCGGCACGCCUUCGCGAUCGACCCGCGCUGCACCGUGGUGGGCCGCGGCUUCUACUACGGCGGGGAGGGGGUGAUGCCGCUGGGGGGCGGCGCAGAGGUGUGGAGUGGAUUCCAGCAGGUGAGGGGGAGAGAGCAGGGGGGGGAGGGGCUGGGGGAGGGGGGGAGGACUGUAGGGGGGCGGACUAUAGGGGGGCGGACUGUAGGGGGCGGACAGGGGGAUAGGAGUGGGAGCGGGUCAUUGAAAAUUCAGCCCAGCCCAAACGUAGGAGCACGAGGAGAGCUCGAAGAGAGGCCAAUACAUCAUAUCCGCAUAUGCCUUGAGCCGGAGCGCCUUUGCAGGCGCAAGCCCGUAAACCGUAACAAUGCUGAUACCGGCGCCACGCACCUUGCCGGCGCUCCCAUCGUGUGCGGACGUGCCGGCGGCCUGCGCCUUGGAUAAACAUGAAUGUAACCCAACACCCAAACCACCCCACACACACGCCCCCCCUCCCCCCCCCCCACACACACACAUACACACACUCACACACACGCGCGCCCCCCCACACACAUACACACACACCUUGAGCCCCACACCUUUGAAACCCCCACCUUGAACCCCCACCCCCACCCCCGCAGUCCUUCAAGGCGGUCCAGGCCGGCCUCAUGCUCAACCUGGACUCCUCCUUCGCAGCCUUCAUGUCCGCCCGCCCGCUGCCCGAGCUGCUGGCGGAGGGCGCGGGCGUGCGCGGCGGCCCGGCGCAACUGGCGGCGGCCGACCCACGCCGGCUGAGGGCGGCUGCCAGGUCGCUGGUGGGGUUCAAGGUGUGUGUGUGUGUGUGUGUGUGUGUGUGUGUGUGUGUGUGUGUGUAUGUGUGUGCGUGUGUGCGUGUGCGUGUGUGUGUGUGUGUGUUAAAGAGCACAAGGAAAACAUUGCGCAAAGACAGUGUAUGCGAUGCACCAAAGCGACGGUUUACGGAUGUUAUGUGUGUGUGUGUGUGUUUGUGUGUGUGUGUGUGUGUGUUUGUUUUUUGCGGGGGCCGGGGGGAUGGAGGGGACGGGGUUUUGGGGUGAUAAGCCGUACACAUGGAGAGCGUGGGGCUGAGGGUGUGAGGGGGGGAUAGAGUGUGGCAGGCCGGGAGGCUUUGAACGCUCACGCGCACACGCACACAUAACACACACACACACACCCUUCCCCCCACCUCCCAUCUCCCCUCCCCUCCCUCAGGUGGAGUUCCCCAUGCCCGGCGGCCGCGCUCGGCGCAAGAUGCUGACGGGGCUGAGCGAGCAGGGAGCAGACCGCACCAUGUUCAUGAACGAGAAGGAGGGGCGGUGAGAGGGCGGGCGGCGUGAGUGUGGUGUGGAACAAAUGUGGAACGAAUGGUGGGUGUGGGGGAAUGCGUGCGUGCGUGCGGGGGCCUGGUGUGUGGCGGGCCCCACCCACACAGGCCCUUACCCCAAACCCCACACCCACCCCCCAAACCUUACACCCACACCCACCCACCCACACACACACACACGCCCCACACCCCGCCCCCUCCCCCCGCUCCCCCCCCCCCCAGUGAGAUGUCAGUGGCCGAGUACUUCCGCUCCACUGGCCGCCCGCUGCGCCACCCCGGCCUGCCCUGCGCCAACGUGGGCGACCGCCGCCGCGCAGUCUACAUUCCGCUGGAGCUGUGCACGUGAGCGUGAGGGGGGGGGAGAGGGAUGGGGGAGCGGGGUGGGGGUGUGUGUGGGGUGGGUGGGUGGGUGGGCUGGUGGGUGGGCUGGUGGCUGGGUGUGUGUGUGUGUGUGUGUGUGUGUGUGCGUGUGUGCAUACGCGCCACCACCUGUACCUUCACGCACGUCCACCCCUGCACGCAACCCUUCGCUCUCUCGCCCCUGUACAACGACUUGUCGACGACUUCUCGCCACACGUUACCAUGCAUUGGACCCCCCCCUCUCUCCCCCUCUCCCCACCGCCCUCUCCCCACCGCCCUCUCCCCUCUCCCCCUGUCCCCUCCCCCUCCCCCUCUCCCUCCUCCCCCUUCCUCUAACCCCCCUCUCCUCCCCUCUCCCCCACCCCCCCUUCCUAGUGUGGUUGCUGGCCAGCGGCGCAUGAAGCUGGACGCCACGCAGUCGGCCGGCAUGAUCACCGCCGCCAAACAGGAUCCGGCGGUGAAGGCCGAGGCAUGCAACAAGCAGGUGGGGUUGGGUGGGAGAGAGAGAGAGUGUGUGUGUGUGUGCGUGUGCGUGCGUGUGUGUGUGUGUGUGUGUGUGUGUGUGUGUGUGCGUGUGUGUGUAUGUGCGUGCUGCACGGGCACCAGCGGGUGGGGGGUGGGGUGGAUGUGCUUGGGUGCUUGGAUGCUUUCGGAAGCGAUUUUGCUGCGAGGGGCCGCACACUGCUGGCACGGGCUGCACGGGCAUAUUGGCACGGGCACAGGCUGCAACGUAUAUGAUACGGCAACUGAGCGCCUGUGCGGCUGUGCGAGCAAAGGCCGAUGAAACCCGCCCAGGCCCGCCCCUCCAAUAACCUCCUCCAUUGUCACCACUGCCUGUUCGGAUUGGUUUGGUUACGGCUGGUAACUACAACCCCACCUAACGACGCGCCUGCUGUACCAAUGCGCCUGGCUACAACUCUUCUUCUCAUGUGUUUUGAAUGUAACCAUCACACACUUAAACGCACACAGGCCAAGCGGGUGGCCGAGGCUCUGGCUGCGGGCGGCACUGAGCGGUCCUGGGGCCUGAAGCUGGGCACCGGCAUGCUGCCGGUGCAGGGGCGCGUGCUGCCCAACCCCGUGCUGCAGUACGGCAACCGACAGGACUUCGACGCGGGGCCGCUGGGCAGCUGGAACACCCUGUGAGUGCGCGUGCGUGUGUGUGUUAAAAAAAACGAAACGAAAGCCCGCCCAGACGACGCCGGAGUUACUUACCGAUACCCACCAUUUUACCGAGCGUCGCGUGACUGUCGUGACCCAGGUAGUCAUACUUACCCGCGAUAAGCCUGGAACCCCACGGGCGACCAUUCGGCCUGACCCCGCGAUGCACCUGUAUGCGUCCAUGCUCCGCACCCUGGGCGCGCUAAACAACGUUUACCCAGCACGCCUAAUUCCCGGAUUCCCGCCCGCGUGUGUGUGUGUGUGUGUGUGUGUGUGUGUGUGUGUGUGUGUGUGUGUGUGUGUGUGUGUGUGUGUGUGUGUGUGUGUGUGUGUGUGUGUGUGUGUGUGUGCGUGUGUCCGCAACUCAUCAUGUCAGUUUCACGUGUUUCAGAGUGCGAGCCUGUGAGUCACACGUGUCAUAGAGAGUGGGAGCCUGUCAGUUGGCCAUGUGUGCCAGCUAGCGGGACCCGAAAACUGGGUGUGUCCAUGUCGCCCGUUGUACCCCCUUGCCAACCAUCUUUGCAGCCUCCACCCCGCCCCACCCCGACGACCGCACUUCUUAUUUCUUCAUAAAUGUACCGUAACCCCCCCCCCCGCUCAUGUGGUAACGACUUCGUCUGCAGUCUUCAGUGCAUCCUGUACCGCUUUUCCAAACAUCCCUGCAACCCCCCCCCCACACACACACACACGCACCCCCCCUGGAAACACACGCACACCCCUACACUCCCACUCCCCAGCAAUGUCAAGUUUGUGGACGCACGCGCACUGGACUCGUGGGCCGUGGCCGUCAUGAUGAACCAGGCGGUGGGUGGGGGCGGGCGGGCGGGGGCGGUGGGCUGUGGGGGAAAGGGACGCAGGCUGGUAUCUAUCGCGCGCGCGCGCCCCCCCGCCCCCCCCACACACACAAUACACAAAACACCCAACACAGGACGUGGACUUUGACGGCGACAACAGCAUCUGGAAAUUCCUGGAGGACCUCUGCUCGGCCAUGAUCACCCGCGGCAUGCGCGUGGCCAGCCCCGUGACCCGGGGCUCCAACGACAGCCCGCCAGUGGAGUACGGCGGCGCGGCGGCGGGCGGCGGCGCAGCAGGCCGCGGCGGCGGGGCCCGCGGCGUCGAGGCGACCCUGCGCGCGGCGGCAGACGCGGCGGCGGCGCGGUACAAGAAGCCGGCGCAGCUGGUGCUGGUGGUGCUGCCGGUCAAGGUGUGUGUGUGUGUGUGUGUGUACCAGGAGCGGGGGAUGCCGGGGGGGAUGAGGGGCUGGGGGGCUGGUGGAGGCGGGUGUGUGAGGCGGCGGGGGCGGCGGGGGCGGGGAGGAGCAUGGAGGCGCUGACAUUAAAACCGCCGUGUGUUGUAAUCAAAAGCCUGUAGCCCCACGGGCGGUCGGCGAACGACGCGACCCAAGCGCAAUGUAUGCGCCGCGCCCUGGGCGCGCUAGCACGUUCCCUGACCCUGUAUCCUGCCCCUCCCGCCCUCCCCCGCCCCUGGCUAUGCCUCCACUUGUUGAAUGCAACUCCCGCCCUCGCCCGCGCCAUUACUCCUUCUUGGAUGAUGAACGUAACCCCGCCCCCUCCCCCGCCCCCCUGCCCGCCCCCCCCCCCCCGCCUUUCCCCCGCCCAGCCCUCGGACGAGUACCGGGAGGUGAAGCGCGUGUCGGACAUCGAGUUGGGCAUACCCAGCCAGGUGGUGGUGGGGGGCAAGGUGAGAGCAGUAAGGGGUGUGAGGGGCAGAAGAUGGUGGAAGGUGGAGGGAGGUGGAGGGAGGUGGGAGGAGGGGGAAGGUGGAGCGGGGGGGGGAGGUGGCAGGUGGAAGCAGGUUGAAGGUGGAAGCAGGGGGAGGGAGGGAGGUGGGGGUUGGAAGGAGGUGGAGCGCGGGAGGUGGAGCGCGGGAGAAGCGAUUACUUAUGGGGGGAGGCAGGGGGGAGGCAGGGAACCACCAACUCGGCAGGGGCUGUGUGGCGCUGCCAUGCACGUGGGCCCCCACCACGGGCCCCCACCACAAGCCAGCCGCGGCCAUCCUAUGGACAUGGACAUUCGCACCGCACCUCCCCCGUAACCGCCUGAAACCGCCUGAAACCGCCGUGACCGCGAUCACAUCUCACACACACACACACACACACACACACACACACACACACACACACACACACGCUCGCACACACACACUCACACCUGCACCUGCCCCAAACCGACCACUCCAACCAGGCGCGUGUGGGCUACCGCGAGCAGAGGGGCGGCGGCCCGCAGUACUGCGCCAACGUGGCCAUGAAGAUUAACAACAAGCUGGGCGGGGUCAACGUGCAGCUCAGCGGCGGACUGCGGUGAGCGUGGGCGGGCAGGGGGAGGCGGGCCAGAGGGGAGGGCGGGGUGGGCGGGUGGGUUGGUUGGUGGGUGGCUGGGUGGGUGGGGGGUAGCCGUUCAUGGAGGGCGGAGCGAGAUGGAUGACGUUGAUUAUGAAAAUGCCCCGGAUCUAACGGGUCCUCGACUAAAUGAGACCUACUUCAUUGGGCUCGGGCACACAACCCUCCACACACCCGUUUACCAACUCUAUCUUCCCUCCCUCCUCCUCUCCCGCUCCACAGCUACAUGCCCGUGCUGGGCGGCGCGGGCUCCGUGCCCUUCAUGGUGUUGGGCGCCGACGUGACGCACCCCACCGGCGCCGCCGCGCGCGCCGACAGCCGCGACCCCUCCGUGGCGGCUGUGGUGGGCAGCCUGGACGCCAGCCUGGGCCGCUGGGCCAGCCGCGUGCUGCUGCAGGCGGGGCGCCAGGAGGUGAUCACGGGCAUGUGCGGCGCCACAAAGGAGCUGCUGCUGGAGUUCUACAGGGCAAACAAGUGAGGGGGGAGGGGGGGCGGAAGGGAGGGGGGAGGGAGGGAGGAAGGGGGAAGGGAGGGGGAAGGGGAAGGGUGUUCUGUGCCCUGGCGCCCAAACGAGAACCCACCACGACUAGUCAUUUCGCAAACACACACACACACACGCACACACACACACACACACACACACACACACACACACACACGCACGCACACACACACGCACACGCAUACACGCGCGCACACACACACACACACACACACACGCACGCCCACAGGCAGGUCAAGCCGCAGCGGCUGGUCAUGUACCGCGACGGCGUGUCGGAGGGCCAGUUCGAGCAGGUGGGGCGGGUGGGGUGGGGUGCAGGUGGGCGGAUGGGGGCAGUGAGGUGCGGUAGUUGCAAUGCGAUCCGGCGGUGCAGUGGGUGUGGGAGUGGGAGUGGGAGUGGCGGUAGUUGAGUUUGCUCUGAUUAAGUUUGGCCCGGUAUUUACACCACCACCCCCUCAAUGCCCAGGUCCUAGCGGAGGAGUUCACGGCCCUGCGCCGCGCCUGCCGCGAGCUGGAGGAGGGCUACCGGCCCGCCAUCACCUUCGUGGUGGUGCAGAAGCGCCACAACACCCGCCUGCUGCCCAACGACCGCGCGUCGGCCGACCCCAAGUGCGUGAGGGGGGGUUUGCAUUCAUGAUUACCGUGACUAAGAAGUGAAGGGCGGAGGGAUGGGUGUUAGAUGGUUGGUGGUUGGUUGAGAAGUCUUAUGCGCAGAGGUGUUGUUGGUAUGGUAUGGGGUCACGUGGGUGCGUCGGGCGGCACUUGGGGUGGCAGCUGUUGUGUUUCGUAGUGGUUUGCCACUGCUACACACAUAUACACACACACGGCGUCGUCUGGGCGGGCUUUCGUUUCGUUUUUUAAAACACACACACACACACACACACACACACACACACGCAUGCGACCGGGGCCCCAUGCUCUCCUCUCUCUCUUUCUCACCCCACGCGCUGGAGCUGGCCGCUGGACUUCACGGACAUCGGUAACAACGCGUCUACUAUGCGACUGCACCUGCCUACCACUUCACUUCUUUAUUAAUCAUGAAUGUAACCCCACCUCCACCUCCUCCCCACCUACCCCAGGGGCAACGUGGUCCCCGGCACGGUGGUGGACAGUGGCAUCACCGCCCCGGACGGCUUCGACUUCUACCUCAACAGCCACUCCGGACUGCAGGUGGGGGGUGGAUGGGGUGGGGGUGGUUGUAGAUUCCAGCCCAAACUAGCUAACCCAAUGCAGUAGAGCGAGUAGAGCGUGAGAGCCUAUGCUUGACAACGGAGUGGCACGCGACAACAGUCCCCAUCCCCGAAAUGCACCGAGUUCCCAGGGGGGUGGGUGGCGUGUGUGGGUGUGGGUGUGGGAGAGGUGGGCGGGCAGCAGGGGGGCCGCAGGAAGUAGAGUUUUAGCUGGUAUCUGCAACCCCACCCCCACCACCACCCCCACCACCACCCCCACCCCCACCCCCACCCCCACCACCCCACCCCCAACCCAACAGGGCACCAACAAGCCCGCCCACUACCACGUGCUGGUGGACGAGAUCGGGUUCGGCGCCGACGGCAUGCAGCUGCUCACCUACUGGCUGUGCUACCUCUACCAGCGCACCACCAAGUGAGGAGGGGAAGAGGGCUGGGGGCGGGGGGAGCUGGGGGAGAGGAGGGGGAGCUGGGGGAGAGGAGGGGGAAGGGGGGCGGGAGAGGAGGGGAGGAGGGGGAGGGGCCCAGCCAUUCAUGCGAACGGUUUGUAUGAAGCAUGAAACUGCCGAGGCACAGCGGAGCCUCCAGAGGCACAGCGGGAACACGCCGGGGACAGUUGGCCGUGCGUCAACACUGGAGCUAGCGCGAGGGCAGGAUGGGGUGGGGUUGCGGGUCGGUCGGGGCUUUGACGCCGCCUGGACGGCGGCCGCGGGGAGCCUUGGGCAGGCCUGGCUGGCAGGGGGAGCGUCCACGCACCAGGAACGUAGCAUACGGUGCGUGCUCGAGGGGGCGCGAGGGCACGGCGCCCUCGCUCCGGAGUGAGCCCUGAACUAGCUCAGCUGCGCCCCCACACUGCAACGGGCCCAAAGGGCCGCUGUGCCGUGUCGCACACCUGUCCCCUCCGCCCCUGCGCCCUUCCGCCUCUCCGCUCCGCCCAUCCUCUGCGCUCCUCCCCCCUCCUGCUAUACUACUGUACCUGGCUACGCCUUUACUUCAUAAAUAACCAUGAAUGUAACCCCUCUCAGGUCGGUCAGCUACUGCCCGGCCGCCUACUACGCCGACCGCGCCGCCUUCAGGGGCCGCACACUGCUGGUGAGAGGGAGGGGGGCAGGGGGCAGCAGAGGGGGCAGGGUAUGGGAGGGGGCAACAGGGGUUGUAAAUACCAGCCCAAAGUGAGUCAAACCAAGGGGCCAGGGAUUGAGUUCGUGCCCAAACACCAGACACUAUCACUUUCUCACCCAAGCAUACCAGUGGGGAGGGAGCUGCGCCGGUGCGUGGGUACGUGGCACGCAGGUUGGCAUUGCGGGCACGUCCGCUGACCUUGCUCCCCAACCCCACCCCGCCCACUUCGUCCCCAUCUGGUAACGACUUUGUCUGCAGUCUUCAGCGCAUCCUGUACCGCUUUUCCAGCCAUCCUUGCCCCCUCCCCAACCCAAACCCACCCCGCCCCUCCCACCCACUCCGCAGGCCGCCUCCUCCUCCGCCUCUGACAGCGCCUCCGAGUCCGGCAGCCGAGCCGGCCGCGGCGCGGGCGCGGCUGAGGGCGGCGCCAGCGCCCCGCCCACCUUCGCCGGCAUCCACCGCAACCUGUCCAACGUGCUGUACUUCAUGUAGAGAGAGCGCUGUGGAGCAGCAGGGCGGCUGGGGGCGGAGGGGCACAGGCCGACAGGCGGCAGGGGGGAUGGAGGAGCACAGGCGGCAGGGUGGAUGGAGGAGCACAGGCGGCAGGUGGGGAUGGAGGAGCACGCAGUAGCUGGCGUGUGGGCAGUAGCAGCUGCGCGGGUGGUGGAGAGAGCUGCGAGCUGGAGGAGAGAGCUUGGUUGUUCGGAGCGGGGAGGAGCUGGCUCGGAGGUCUCCGUAUGGAAGGGGCAGGGGCGGCAAUUUGGGUCCGGUCCGUGAGGGCUAUUGUAAUGGCACUUGGCUGAAUGGCUGAUGCGCAAGUGUACAGUAUUGUGUUUUGGCGGUGUGAAUUUUGCUGCGCGGGUGGAGGAGGAGGUUCAACAGGCGGAGGGAAGGGACUGCGUAGAUACGCACAGGCGCACAGGAACAAGGAAAGUCACAGGCCACGUAUCAGGAUGUGUUCGGAUGUCCGGAUCAGGACACGUGUUGCGACGCUUGGCGUCGUGCACGGGACUGUCUGACAGACUGUAGACAGUGGGCUGGCGUACGGUUGAACAUGGGGGCGGCAAUGUUGUUGAGUUGUUGGUGCACCGUUUCGGCGCACUGCUGCUGGGUGGAUGGUGUGGCUGGUUGGCAGCGUGGGAGGCGCGAGCGAGGGACGCGCAUCAUCAUCACCUGAUGCGCAUGCAUGCCUCCGUGGCAUUGGCCAAAUGGAGGGAGGUGCCACCACAGGCGGGCGGAAGUGGCCGCGAUGCAAGUUUUGUUGCUUAAGGCAGGGGCCAGCCGAGGUCAUGAGGUUUAUCUGAGACGACGGGCGGACGGGUCUGGAGGGGGCUGGGCUAGAGGAUGCCAGGGGCCACAUUCGCCACAGCAGCAGGUGGGGUGCGGGGAGCGAAGGCAGUUGCCCGGUUGCAGUCGAGUCAGGGACGGAGUUGCAAACCUCCAAAUCUCUUCCGCUGUGUGCCUCACUCGUCUCACUGACCUAGUAGAGGCGUGGCAGGCAUCGCUUGUGCGUCACGCUGCAGCGCUGCCGCUGCCUGCCGUACUUGUUCGUCUCGUUUUGUAGGUCGCCCAGCCUGCCGCACAACGGCCUACCGGCCCCACGCACUUACGUACCCAAACACCUGCGCAGCCCCGCCCCCGGCCGGCAGGCCACACUGCGGUAGCCCAAUCCCGGCACACACGACGUAGACAUGCAGCAGCACCGCCGUUGGAUAUUGCAUUGGUUACAAGAGGGACCCGCUGACGCAGUUCACGAGCCAGUGCCGGAAAACGAUCACCUACCCUGCUCUGGACCCCAGGGGCGUGCCGCCGCCUGCAACGCCGUCGGCCUGCUCUAGCUCAAGUAUUGCAAGGCUCCCAUAGGACGCUCCACUCCUCCCACAAGGAGCAGGGCACACCAGGUCCACACCAGACUACCGUAUAGCCACCGCCGCGCAUAUCAUAUGAUCAUAUCUGUUACAAUCCUUCCCCGCCUCAUGCCGGCAUCACAGUUCAUCCAAGUUCAUCCAAGUUCAGGCCACCAAGCACAAUAAUUGAAGGGCCCCCGCACCACCCGCGCCUGCACCAGCAGUGUCCUACCGGCUAUGGCGCACCACGGGGCCUCAAACCUCCCAUGGUGCGUUAGACCUCUAUCUCCAGGAUGUCCUAGCGUCAGAUUUACGCACCUGCUGCUGCGCACUUCGCACUGCCUGGCGGCGUCCUACACGAUACCUUACCAUACCUUACCCAUACACCACACCAUAAGCAGUAUCCCUCACCGCGGCGCACGCUGCAUAUGCCCAACGCCCAGUAGGGACCGCCUGCCGCCACCUGCUACACCUGCCUGCUAGCUAGCUAGCUAGCUACACCUGCUGCCGCGCCGCACCCGCCGCCGCCGCCGAGGAGCCCGCGGCCGCGCCCCCCGCCAGCGCGGCCGCCAGCGCCUUCUCCAUCGCGUCCCGUAGCAGCCGCUCCACAUCCACCACCGUCGCCCCCUCCUCACGCCCCGGCCCCUGAUGAUACCCGCCCGGCGACGGCAUGGCCGCCGCAUGUGCCGCCGCGGGGGAGGCCACCUCGGGCUUGAAGGACACGCGCGGCACCAGGAAUGCGCGCGGGUCCGUCGCCGACGCGACGCCGCCCCGCACGCCGCUGCGCCCCGUCUGGCCCAGCGCCAGCAGCUGCUGCUGCCCCGGCUGCUUGGACUGCAGCAGCUUGCGGAUGCUGCGCACCUGCGGCGCGCGGGAUGAAGACGGAGGCAUGCCCGGCGAUGGUGCACGUCAGUGGGGCAGAGGAUGGAAUGGGAGCACGGCGGUGUGCGCCCAGGCACCCUCCCCUCUACCGCCCAGGCACCUGCCCUCUACCACCAGGCACCCUCCCCUCUACUGCCAUCACCACCACCAUCCUCGGCAGCAUGUAUGAGCAGCACGGCGCGUGGCGUGUUCCUGCGAAGGGGGCUACUGCCGCUGGUACCUGCCUCGUCGCGACCCUCCGCCCACCCACACCCUCCCACACCCUCCCACACCCUCCCACACCCUCACACACACGCACUCCACCCCCCCCCACACACACCCUCCCCCCCCAAAACACACACACACACACACACACACACACACGCACCUGCGCUCGGCUGCCCCGCAGCUCCGCCAGCUCGCGCUGCUGGCGCUCGCUGAUGCGCGGUGCCAUGGGGCCGUACACCGCCACCAGCGCACGCACCAGCUGAGAGGCAGGAGGAGAGGGAAGGGUGGGGGGAGGGGUGGCGAGGAGGUGAGUGGGGAGGGGAAGAAAGGGGCCGGUGAGGGCGCGAGACACUCAUUACGGACAUGCAAUGGGCAUGCCACGACGCGUCCCAUUCGGAGAUGCAGCUGGCUGCAGCUGGAAGAGAAGGGGCUGCAGCUGAACAGAAUCAAGCCAGCUUGAACUUAUGCCUGAACUCAGAGCCGAGCUUGAACUCAUGCCGCGCCGCCCUGCCCACCUUCUUCAGGUUCUCAUCGUGUCCGUCCAGCGAGCUUGCCAGGAAGGGCCAGAAGGGGUUGGGCCGGGUGGUCAUGAACACGGCCCUGCACCACAGCCCCGACAGCGUGGCCGCCCGCCCGCACCAGCUCCGCCUCCACCAGCUCGACAGCCGCUGCCGCCACCCCGCAACCACAGGCGAAGCCUGCUGCUGCGUCUGCAGCGGCUGCUGCGUCUGCUGCGUCUGCUGCGUCUGCUGCUGCGUCUGCGUCUGCGUCUGCGUCUGCUGCUGCUGCUGCUGCUGCUGCUCCGGCCCCGGUGACGGCUGCGGCCCCGGGCCCGGCGACGGCGAGGGCGGCGGCGACGAACCCUUGCCGCCCGCGCCACUGCCAUCAUCGGCAACCGGAGCCGGGUCAGCGGGCGCCAGCGGCGGCGCGGGGGCAACCGCGCCCCCGUACGCAGCCGCGGCGGCGGCGGCACUGGCGCGGGGGCGGCCAAAGUGCUGCUGCUUGUAGUCCCAGCAGCGCUGCCACGCGCGCUCCACCUGCGCCUGCAGCGCCAGGCCCGCGCGGCACGGCCCCUCCACCAGCAGCCGCAUCACCUCCGCCUCGUAGGCCUGUCCGUGCGCGGGGAGGGGGGAACCCACGCGUGCAUUACGAGAUUGUAAGUGCGUACGAAUGUACAUGGGAACUUAACGUGUGCGUGGGGUCGCAGCACGUGACCGGAGGGCCGGUGGGCAAGUGCAUGACAUGCACCCUGCCUCGGUUGACCCACACCCGCACCCUGUCACGCUCCAACAGCGCACACCCGAGCAAAGACACAACGCACGCCCCAGCAAAGACACAACGCACGCCCCAGCAAAGACACAGAGCACACCCCAGGCCGCCGCACACGCAGGCCAAGUAAGCCCAAGCCCACCUCCACGUAAAAUUUGAGCUCCACUGUGUCAAGCAGCACCACCGACGCCCGGUCUGGGUCCGCCACCUCAUCCUCCAUCGGGUGCACGUGUGCCGCAUGCAGCGGCGCCGCCGCGGGCGCGGCGCCCUUGCCGGGCGGCGGCGGCGGCGAGGAGGGCGGCGGCGGUGUCGCCGGCGCUACCUUGACGGGCGCGGAGGUGCGCGCCGACGCCUUCUUGGGCCGCGAGGAGAAGGUCUGCAGCUGAGGCAGCAGCCGCACCGGGCCCCACUGCGCAGCCGCACCGCUGCCGCCACCAGCGGCGGCGGCCGCGACGUUGCUGCUUCCCAUCGGCGCAAGGCGGCCGCCGCCGCCGCCGCCGCCGCCGCCGCCACCGCCGCCGCCGCCGCCGCCACCACCACCGCUGCCCCUGAACCUCAGGCGCCACAUGCUGUACACCGCCUCCGCGUCCUCCAGGUCCGCCAGGUCCGCCUCCUCCUCCUCCGGCGGCUGGCCCUCCUCCGCCGCGCCGCCGCCGCCGCGAGCCGCACCGCCGCCCUCCUUGGCGCCGCCGCCGGAGCUCAAGCGCGGGACCUUGCCGGCCGCCUCAAUCGCCAGCAGUGCCGCCGCCGGCGGCUCGGUAGUUGCAAAAGGGCUCGCCUGGUGCCUGGCCGCCGCCGCGGUCAGUGGCGGCGGCGGCGGCGCCGCCUCAUUGUUGCCUGCGGCGGCGGAGCCGGCGCGGUGACCGCUGCCGUUGCCGCCGCCGUCACCAGCUGUGCUGUCAUCCAAAUCCUCCGGCUCCUCCGCAAGCACGGCCAGCACAGGCGCCGGCCGCAGGGCCUUGUUGGAGCCCUCAGAAAGCAGGCCCACGCCGCCACCGGUGCUGCUGCCGCCGCCGGCGGGGCUGCUGCCGCCAGGCGCCGGGUCCGCCCCGUCACGUCCUCCAGCCGCGGUGCCCGGUGUCAGGUGAGUUGCGGCAACUGAGUAACUCAAGGCGAUUGGCUUGUUUGCCGCUCUCGUUGCGAGCUCGGCUGCUGCGGCGGCGGCCGCCUCGCUCCGCGCCUCCUCCACAGCGUGAACCUAAAGUGCCGAGAUGGGUGAAGAGCGGCAGUACUGUCAGGCUCCUAAGAACCCCUGCAUGCACUUGCUCCUGUAAGGAACCUGCAGUCGACUUUUACUUGACAUCGCCAAGCCGGCCAAAGCAAUCAAUGACAUGCUUACAGCGACGGGGCUCUAGUGCCACCAAUUAUCGUUCAUGCCGCAUGCAGUUCUUCCACAAGGUUUCUUCCCGCUCACCGGCAGCACGUUGAGGCGGCUCAUUGCCUCGUCGUCAAAGAACGCGACCAGCGCCGCCAUUUGCGGGCUGGAGGCCAGGCGCCAGCGCGCCAGCGUGAAGGAGAAGGUGCGGGUGGGGUCUGCGAUGCGGCAUCGCAAGACAGGCAAAGGGCUGAGCGGGCAGGGACCAAUGCAGAGGAGCAGCGAGCCAAGUGGAGGAGCUAGAGGGGCUAGAGGAGCUAGGGGAGCUAGAAGAGCUAGAGGAGGAAGUGGGCGGAGGACGGGCAACGGACGGAUGGCUGCCGCGCCUCGCUCCCGCCCCUUCAUUCCCCAAGCAGCCGCCCCCCUGCACGGCUGCACCCACCUCGCAGCGUGCUGCCUUUGCUCAGGAUGAGCAGCUUCUGGCGCUGCUGCUGCACAAACCUGCCGCGGCAGAAAGCAACGGAUACAGUACGAAUGAUUAUUAGAGCACCGCGGCCUUCUUAAGGGCCUUGCCAACCAGACCCCCCCCCGCCCUCUCCUGCUCCCCAACCCCAACCCGCCAGCCCCAGCCCACCAAUCCCCCAAAGCAACAAACCCAUCUGCUGGGUGCCGCCACCCUCAACCCUACCCUACCUGCAGAGCGCCGCCACCCUCUCCUCCUGCCCAACCAGACCCACCAAUCCCCUCAACCAAACCAACCCUACCCUACCCUAAUAACCACCACCGCACCUGCUGGGCGCCGCCGCCUUCCGGGCGUCGCCCGCCGCCAGCAGCUCGAAGUCGCGCAGGUGCGCCUCCGCCCAGUACAGCCGCAGCCGGUACGGCAGGCCGUACAGGUACCAGCCCGCCCGCCAGAGCGCCAGGCGCCAGGCAGGGACGGCUCUGGACGCGGGCUGGGGCAGGGGCUGGGGCUGCUGGGGGUGGGGCUGGAGUUGGGGCAGGGGCUGUUGGGGCUGGAGUUGGGGCUGUUGGGGCUGGGGGGGUUGCUGGGCGGGGUCGGCCGCGCCAGCGGGACUCGACAGAGGCAAGGAGGGCUGCGGGGACGGGGUUGGGCCCGCACCCGUGCCCGCACCCGCACCCAGGUCACCGCUGUGCGACGCAGCUGUGAGCGCCACAGGCGCCUGCUGCGCGCCGCCUGCGGAGCCCGGGCCCGGGCGGCCGUUCUGCGUCACUUGCGGCCGCAGGUAGCGCCGGAUGGAGCCCAGCCGCUGCUGCUGCUCCUGCUCGCCGGCCAUGCGGAACGUCUGUGCGCGCUGGAGCUCCGGCUGGCCGGGGCUGGUGCCGCUGGCGGCGGUGCCCACGCCCAGGCCAGCAGUAGCACCCGCGCCGCCAGCCGCAGGCGCGCCGCCACCACUCGAGCCGCCCACGACCAAGCCAUCCGCAUCCGACACGGCAUCAUCGCUCACGCCGUUCUGCAGCGCGUAGGCCCGGCUCCAGUACACCCAUUGCUGCAUGCCCGCUCCGCUGCUGCCGCCCGGCCCCGGCAGCCGCCCCUGCGCCUCACCGGCACCCGCUACCCUGCCCGUCGUCCCCACCGAGCCCUGCGUCUUCUCGCCGGGACUGGCGGCCUUCGCGCGCGCCUGCUGCUUGCGUAGGUGGGCGUCGUAGCACGUGACACCGAGCGGGUCCGUGACCAGCGCCCACACGAGCGUGAGCAAGUAGUUGCGGGCGCGGUAGGUGAGGAGGAAGCAGAAGUCGUAGAACGCGUGCAGCAGGAAGAUGGAGUCCUGGGCACCGCUGGCCGCCGCGCCCUGCUUGGCCGUCUCGUAGGCGCGCGUGAAGAUCUGUGGGCGGCGGUGGCAGUGGGGUGGAGCCAGGCGCGGGGCCAGAGGUGGGUGCGCGUGGUGGUGAGGGAGACGGGCGUUGCGGAGAACACAGGCGCACUCUUGGCGGCAAUGCCAUGGUGCACGUAGAUAGCGCGAGGCCAUGUGUGUGCAACCCCAAGCACACACCCUCCCCGCCGACGCCCCACCUGCUCACACUACGGUACUGUCCCACAGCCGCAAACAUGCACGUCUGCAGCUGCCCGCGCCACUCACCGCCAGCAGCGUGUUCUGCACAACCAGCACCAGCAGUAGCACGCUCACCCUGAGAAGAGGUAGAACAGGGGAAGGGCGGUGGUGGGAGGAGGUGGGGUUUGCGGGCGGCAGCAUGGCAUGCGUGUCAAACCCGGGCCCAGCCCCCCCCCCUCCGUGCAGCCGCCCCACAGCACCCGCCGGCUGUGCGGCACACAUGCUUCAUGUGCACGUGCACAAAGGCGUUUCGUUCAGUCGCCUGCGACCCACGCCUGCGCGGCACCCUCCCGUGACUGUGCACGGCCCCUGCACCCGCCCGGUACCCGCUGUAAAUCUGUGAUGCUGCCAAGGAGAAGGAGCCCGUGGGCAUUGCAUGCACGCAUGGCACACGGCCUCACCAGAACAGCACCACCACUGCGGCGCCGUAGGAGCCCAUGCCGUUUCCGCUCUGCAUGUCGAUUGGGCACGGAUGGUGGCGCACGGGCGUCAGGGGCGAGCGGGUGAAGGCGGACUAGUUGGGGCGGAUUAGCGAACUAAUCCCUGUGACACGCUUGUGCUACGCACUCCUGCUACGCAUAUGCCCGGCUCUGGCUCACAUUCACGAAUGUGUCGUAAUCCAAGAAGCCGAAGGACAGGCGUGUCAGGGCGGACAGGCCCGACCCAAACGCCGUGAACACGCUGUUGCCGCCGGAGAUAAUGAAGACACCUGAAAUACGAACGCGGGGCGAGCAGCUAUUAUUGCGGCGGGUUGGCGCGCGUUAGAAUGGUGAAGGCAAGACAGUGGCGCGGCACACGUGUACGGCCAGCUGGUGUACGGGACCGUAUCCUCCACCAGACCCUUCAGAUCGCAAGUCCUCAAUCUCACGCAGAAUUAUACGCCACAUCAGGCCAUCACGUUCUAAAGCGCUACUCACCGAAGAUGGCUGUGGCGAGCAGCACCGCAAUGCCGAUCACGAAGGUCGCGAACUCCAGGAUGUCGUAAUAGGCAAGCCUGCAUGCACCGGUAUGCAGCACGUGGCGGCCACCGCCGUAACUCCCAAGCCGCUUCGCAACGCUUCUCAACCGAACGGCGACCUCUCUCCCAAGCGCGCCCACACGGCCCCCCCGGGUUUAGUUUGGGCUGGUAUUUGCACCCCCCCCCCGCCCCCCGCGCCCUCCCCCGCCCGCGACUGCGCCCGCCUCCACCCAUGCCAUCCUUGCCCGUACCACCCGCUCCCUGACGCACCUGAAGAGCGUGUAGAAGAUGCGCAGUCCGUCGUGGUGCUUGAGGUACCUCAGGCUGCGCAGCCCCGCAAUCAGGAACAUGGCCAGCCCCAUGUACAGCCACGCCGUGAACAGCUGCGCGGAGGAGGACAGCGAGGCCAGCUCCUGCGUGCAGCAGGUGCAGGCAGCCAGGGGCGGCGGUAGGUGAAGCGAAUUUUGUUGUGGAUCGGGGUUGCGGGACGAGGUGGGAAGGGAUGGGAAGGGAUGGGAAUGGCAUAGGGAGGGAAGGGAAGGGAGGGCAGCAAACGAGCAUGGCAUGCCGGGGCCGAGACGCGUGCCAGCGCGCGCCAUCCGCGACCACCCGCUUCCACGGCACGGCACCCACUUCGGACUCAUAGGCCCCCUGGUGAGCCCGGCCUGCUCCCGCCGACCCCUCGCAAACACCGGGCCCGGCCUGCUCCUUCCGACCUCCCGCCAACACCGGGCCCGGCCUGCUCCCGCCGACCCCUCGCAAACACCGGGCCCGGCCUGCUCCUUCCGACCCCAGCCAACGUACGCAGUUACGCACCUUUGCGCUCUGCGGGUAGCUGGCCAUGGCGGCGCGGGUGACGGCGUGCAGGUGCAGCCAGAUGCAGAUCCACGCCACCAUGGUCAGCUGGUGCAGGAUGUCCAUGCCGUGCCACGUGAAGGGGUGCCUGGGGUGGUGGUUGGGUGGUGGUGGUCGUGGUUGUGGUGGUUAUGGUUGUGGUGGUUGAGGUUGUGGUUGUGGUGGUGAUGGUGGCUGUCAACACGGUAAGCAGCCCGUCCGUGGGGAUUAGUGAGAAGUGAAGCAGAAGGUUGCAACGCGUGCCCAAGGAAGUUCCCAAGUACUCAUGAAAGUCGCCCAAGCGCUAGUAACCCCCGGCCCAGACAGGCACGCCCAUCACGCACCUGGAUCCCGAAACGAUGUAGGCCCACAGCCCACGUCCCUGCUGCCGCGCCAGCAGCACCGCGUGCACUGUGGCCACGAUGUCGGCGAUUGAGGCGAAGAUGACCAUCGCCAUGAAGAAGUUGCCUGGUGGUGGUAGGUGUGGAGAAGAAGCAAGCAUUUGUGGUGUUUGCAAGAUAUGAAGUUAAUGGGGUUGCAAAGUGAUUGGGAAAGCGGUACAGGACAGGAAAGGGCAGCACAGUGGGUUUGAUGUGCGCUCCUGGGCUGCGGUGGGACACGGGAAUGGAUGCGUGACGCGUGCAACGCCUUUGCAAGCGCCUCCAUUUCUGCACGCAGGCCCUCAGACACACACGCACCCGCAGGGCGCCAGUUGAGGUUGUAUGUGAGCGACAGCGUCCGCGUUUCCAGACGGCCGCGGUUCGAGUCGCGUGUGGCCUGUGUGAGUCGAGAGGCGAGCACUGGGGGGUGAAAGACUAUCGAGCACUAGCCAGCCCUAGCACGGUCAGGUCGGCCUGCGCUGGAGGCAUUCAGCUCCAUAAUGUCAGUAGACUCCCACCCUGGUGCAUCAUCAAUGUUGUCAACGAGAUAAGCCAAAGAGGGGACAUUGUCCAAUGCAGUCAGUCAUUCGGCUUCACGCCCGCCGGUUGUAUGGGUUUGCAAAGCUGCUAUCAAUGCCCCUAGGGAACAAAGGAACCCCCAUACGGUAAGAGCACAGGCGCCAGAGUCUUGUAUUUUGCACUAAGACUACAACCAACAGUAUGGAGGGUGAGAUUCACGGUAUCCGCUCACUGGCAUGCAUGCCAUACCCUGAACGCCCAUACCCAGCUUAUCCCGCCUCUUUCGCCUCCACUGCUUCCUCCAUCCCUCCCCCCGGACCCGACGCCCCCCGACCCGACGCCCCCCGCCCCUCACCUCCAUGUAGAACAGCACGUUGCUGUCGUUGUUGCGGCGGUCGUGUGCGUGCAGCCCCAGCUGCACCUGCGUCGCGUACUUGCCCACCACGCCGCGGCAGGAUCCCAGUAGGUAGGCCAGAGACUCCUGAGGUCACAGGUCGAGGCGAAAGGCAGGGCAGCACGUGGGGGAUCUUCCCCGCGCAUGACCAAACAUGUAAGCCCUGCCCGCCUAGCAAACACGUACAGCCCUCAGCCGCCACGCACGUACCCGUCCCGCGCUCCACACCACGCACACACGUCAUCUCCCCACCCCCGGCGCUCACCUUCAUCUCCUCCAGGCUGACCUUGCCCGCAAAGUCCGGCCACAGCCGCACCAGCUCCACCACCGCCCGGUUCUUGGCAUCCCGCCGGAAAAUGCGCGGCGCCUUCGCGGCCGCCCCGCCGCUGCCGGGGGCGCUGUAGCCUUUCACCGCGUCCUCCUGCAUGUAGGCCCGCAGUGUGCGCGGCAGGCCCGUCUCCGGGUGCGCGCAAAAGCAAGCGCUGCCAGCGGCACCCGCCUGCUGCUCCGAUCCGCCGCCGCCGCCGCCGCCUCCCCCGCCGCCGCCGCCGCCCGCGAUGGGGGCGCAGCGCCUGUGCGAGUACACAGGGGAAAGGCAGCUUUUGGGGAUGGCUGGUGGGUGCCUGGGUAGGAACUAGGAGGACAGGUGUGCACACACGCGGCCAGCAAGCAAGCAAGGGGCAAGGGGCAAGGGGCAAGGGGCUAGCAUGGGCGUACGAAACCGCAGGUAGCGCUAGGCGAGCUCCAGGACUCCUGCUUUGCGCCAGCCAGCCCAGCAGCAAGCAAGGUGCAAGGCGGCGCUGCUGUGCCGCGGUAGCAGCAGUGAGUCCCAGCAGUAGGCUUGCGCCCUCACACACGCACCGAAUGUAGCCGGCGGCACAUGUCUUGCCAUCCGGCGGCAGGUCCAAAACUCCCGAACCUGCGCACGUCGCAAGGGGCGCGUGGCACCUGACUGUCCUGCCACCACCAGCACACAUCCUUUCCGUGCGCCCAUGUAAAGCUGGAAACGACACGUCUUGUUAACUUGUUAUAGGACUAGGCAACGAACCGGGUCCGCUCGUGCACCACAUACAGCCACGCUUGACCCAGAGCUGGACUACCGGCGUAUUGCCACCACCCAAGCCACACACACGCCGCGCUCGCACCACUCCCUGACCUCCCUCCGCUGCAGCAUGCUCGCCCCAGCUAGCUAGCUAGCUGCCCUUUUCCCCUGACCCCUUCACACACACGCUCCCCCAAACCCCACGCACCGUCCCUACACACACACGCUCCCCCAAACCCCACGCACCGUCCCUACACACACAUGCUCCCCCAAACCCCACGCACCGUCCCUACACACACACUCUCCCCCAAACCCCACGCACCGUCCCUACACACACACGCUCCCCCAACCCCCACGCACCGUCCCUACACACACACUCUCCCCCAACCCCCACGCACCGUCCUCGUAGUAGUCGUACGGCUGCGCGCCGCCGCUGCCCGGCCCUUCCUUGCGCGUGAGCCGUCCCACCAGGUCCAGGAACGAGUAGUAGUCCACCUAGGUAGAUAGCGUGGGUAGUUAGCGUGGGUGGGUAGCGUGGGUUGGAGGGAGGCGAGGAGGGAGGUGGUAGCAGGCAAUAAAGAAACGUGGUCACGCGUGGCACCUGACCCCGUCCAAUACAUGUGGGGACCUGGCGUACAUGACUUCCAACCCACAUGGAUUUUGCAAGCCCCCGUUGUCACCUACCUCGAAGUCUGACAGCUCCUGACUGUACCGACUGUUGAACAACACGUUGCGGAUGUUGUUGGUCAGCGGGUCCUCGGGGCCGUCGGCAGGAUCCACGACCAGGGUUCGUGGCGACAGAUCCACGCAAUUGUCCGCAAGAUCCAGGAUCCCGGACGUGAGCUGUGAGGUGGGCAGCUGCUGCUUCACGCCCAGCAGCGGCACGGUUGUGGGCAGAUCAGACACGCCGCCACCGCCCGCCGCAGCGCCUCCCAGCGUGUACCUGUGAAGACAAGUUACAGACACUCUCAAUCGUUCUGCACAAAGCGUGCAGGUGCCACGCAAGCUCCCGGUACAAGGCACGUGACGGCGAGGCACUUGGCCGUGGCCCUCGCUUCGGUGCCGCACACGAUCAAUGCACCCACCUCCUCAGGUUGGUGUCAUCGAGCAGCGGCGUGAGGCUACCGCGCAGCUUCUGCAUAGUCUCACGCACUCUGCUCUUGGCGUCCGCAGAGGGGCAGGUGCUUGCAAACUUGAUCUGCACGAACGAAAUAAACGGCGUGUACGAAUAUGGCGUUUACCGCACGGUUCGUUGCGCGGAUUCAUUCACUGCCAAGCAAGGACAUGCAUGCGCGUGGCACACACGCUGCCGUACGUGUGUGGAGUUUGGAGGCCGGUGGGCGCGUGUGACAAGUCCAGUCUUGCCCCACCCCCGCCCCCUACCCCUCCGCCUACCCCUCCGCCUACCCGCCGCCCCCUCCUCGCUCCCGCCCCCACCUCCUCCUCCUCGCUCCCGCCCCCACCUCCUUCGCUCCCGCCCCCACCUCCUCCUCGCCUGCUGCCUACCUCCUUCGCUCCCGCCCCCACCUCCUCCUCCUCCUAGCCUGCCUACCUCCAGCUGCGCAUAGGUCACGUGCGCGAAGUCGCCCAGGUACAGGAAGCUGCCGGCCUCGGGCGCCACCUCGCCGGAGCUGCGCAGCGCGUUCUGCAGGUACCUGCUCGGAAAGCGGAGCGGUGCCGUUACGGCGUUGAUGGCGCGUUAUGCGUUGAUGGCGCGUUCUUUCCUGCUUAGUGCGGCUGUACUGAGUUUUUCAUGCCAGAUUAAAUAAAUGGCAGACCAAUGUUUGAAGAAGAGGUGGGGGCAUGGAGGUAAGACAGCUGAGCGGCGAGGGAGGGUGGGCCGGACGAGGCGCCUUGCUACUGCCAGGUAGGCACGCGUGUAACGCGCCAUGUAUGAACGUGUACGUGCACGCGCACGCGUGGUGCUCGCCAUCAAACUAACACAGGCGCCUCGCUGUGUCGUACAGCGGCAGUUUAAUUAACAACACUCACUGGAUCAUGUACUCGAAGGCUUCGGAGGUGGAGCCCACACCGUUGAGGUUGGAGGACUCCCAGGCGUUACCCGUGUCGUAGGACUGCGCGCAUGGCCAUGAGGUGUGGGCGAAUGGGAGGUGGGAAGCAGGAGGAAGCAAUUGUGAUUGUGAGCGUGCGGACGGCGGCAAUAAGGGACCGGGAACACAGCCCCGUCGCGAGUCAACAAAAUCGGCACAGGCAAAGCUGCAUUUGGUCCUUGCUCGCGAUCAUCUUCACAUACGGUAGACAGCAGCCGCUCCACCCCGCCCCGCCCCCUUCUUGAAUGCAGUAAACACGCCGCCCCCCUACCACCCCCCUCAGGGAGCAUCCUCGGCACCCUCACCGCGAAGGAUGCAAUGACGCUGCUCUUGAAGGCCGUGGCGCCGGUCUCGGUUUGGAACCUGAAUCCAGUUUGGCGGCGGAAGGCGCGGCACACAGUCGGAAAGGCGUACGUGCAGGUGUGGCCGUCGGGCCUAGUAAGCACUGCGCUUUGUACAUCCACUCCAUCGUCCCAUCAUCGCACCCCUACCCGCCCCGUUGCGACACUCACCACACAGCCAGGAAAGUGAUGAUGAAGAAGAUGCCGUACGCGUACAGCUUCUUGAUGCCGUGCCAGCUGUACGAAUCCAGCAGCGCGUUCUCCACGAACACGCACCCCUCACUGUCCCAGCCGCCUGCGCCGCUGCCGGGAAUGGUCCCCGCGCCCCGGGACCGCACGCGCUGUAGCACAGAGGGCUGCGGCUUGAGCUGCUGGGAUGACUGCGCCUCAGGCUGUGGCUUAACGGCGUCAUCGCCGCGAGCGCGCAGGGGCCUGGUUACGUUCGCAACAGCACCGUCUGCUGCGUGGGUGAUAUCCACAUCACCAACGCUGCCAGCGGCGCGCCCACCAGUGCCGUCGCCGGCGCUGCUACUGGGGGUAGCAUUGACGGCACCGCGGGGCUUUGGGUCAGCUGGCAGCUCCUUCACAACGUUAGGAGAGCUGGAGGCUUCAGUGGCGCCGGAGCCAAGGCCCGCCGGCGCUAUGGCAACGAUGCAUGCAUCGACCGGAUCGUCGCCGGCGCUGCUGCUGGUCGGCGUUGCUGUGGCGCCGUCAGGGCUGCUUGGUGCUGUCACGCCACUUGGGGCAGUGGCAGUAGUCUGCGGGUCAUCCUGGGAAAGAGCAGGAUGGGCAGGCGUAGCGGCAGCGGUUGGUGAAGAUGGCGCCGAGGCAUCGUCGGCUGUGGGGCCCUGGGGGCCGCCUGGCCCCGCCAGGUUCCCAGCUGGCUCCGCAGCGGCGGUUGGGGCACUCGGGCUCGCCGAGGCAGACGCGGCUUGUGAAGCGGCUGUAUUGGCCAGAAAUGGCCAUAUGUUUGUGGGCAUGCCUCACAACGCGCGCCCGCCGUGCCUGAGGCGAGUUGAAGCGCGACAUUGCGCGUCACAAACGUCAGGCGGCCGUGCAUCAUCGAGGCGGGCCCAAGCACACAAUGCAAAUGGCACAGUGAAUGAGCCGAUAACAACGCGCGCCCGCAAAACCGGUCAGGCAUGAACCGCGCCAACGGGCGUCUUGUCGCUGCCAACACAAGUGCAAGCGCUAUGCGAGGUAACUAUGCGUAGACAGCAAUGUUUUAGGCAGCUACUCACGUGCAGCAAGCGAGCAGCGCAGGUUGCUCUCACGCCCCGUGCGGCGCAGCCUUCCUAAAAUCGAAAAGAUAGGAGCCUAUGAUCUGUUGAUGGUGCAUAUGGCUAUCUGGUAGCAGCCUCAAAAUACGCUCUCAAAAUGGCUCAUCGACGACAAGAACGUUUAAGAUCCAGCAGCGUCCGGAACUAGCAUUUGGCUUGCCCGCAGAGCGCAAGGUAUCGCAUUCUCUGGCAUAUGGCUACAUGGAUUUUAGCAGCUGCGCGCUAAGCGAACUUCAUGCGGUCUGGUCGCCCUGGUGGAGCCAGCAGUGCGAAAGUAACCGCGAACCAUGGCACGAACUCAACUGAGCAGCAGUGCAAACUGAUUAAACAAACCAAGCAUGCGAGCGAAUGGAGGAAAACGGGUCGGGCUGGAAGUCUGUGCGAAAGUCAGCCAUUCCAGACCGUGUCUGCUCCCGCAUGCUCCAAGCAAUGAUCAGCACAAACUGUAAUACUGUGACGAGCUAUGCGGCCCUUGUUUGCGUCGAGACAGGUCGACAGUUUGCGAACCCACGAAUCCUAGGAUCAUGCGACGGGCUGAUAAAAUAUGAAAUACAGAGUGCAUUUUAUUAUGAGAUGUUAUCAUGCACACCAGGCAACCCUUCGCGCAUGCUGACGUGUCAAGGCCUCCUGGUCGAACGUCGAGACCUGGCUAGCAAAACAUGCGGCCUUACGGAUUGCAACUUACAUCGGUAUCCAUCACAUCAUGGCUGCUAGCGCGCAUAGCUGGCCAGUUUCAUCGGGGCUGAAAAGCGUCGCGGAGGGGCCGAAAAGUUUCGGUUCAAGGGUCGCCCCCUCUCGCGCGAUGGGCCGCAAUGAGACGUACAGCGCUCGGAGCGCGUAUAUAAUCACUGGAAUUGCAUGCACCGCAAUCACUUCCUCGAGCUGUCGCAUAGAUCGCCUUUGCGCUCGCAACUCCCCGUUGCUUUUGAGCCCUCGCCGCCCUCUGCGCCCUCCUCGCUGUAACGCAAGGUCAGUGUUUGUUUUUCACACCGUGACCGUGGGUGAGCAUGCAGUUGGCUCUGCGCCUGGGGCUUUGCGUGCAACGGGACCAGGAAUUGCGUCUGCACCCAGUUGUGGGCGUUGUGGGCGUUGCGUUGCAUACGGGCAUGUGGGCGCGCGUCGCAUGGUCUUGUGUUGUGUCCAUAGUCACAAUUGGCAUGGGGCGCGGGCGCGUUAGGCUGCAUGAGGGUGCUAGGCUGGUUACGGCCCGGUACCACAUUGCCCAGGCGCUUGCACUCGCACUCGCACAUGUUCUUGUUCAUGCUAACAACCGGCCGCACGGCCUCGGAUCACCAGGGGUGCUCCCACCAUGUAUUCGCACAGACUCGCGCGCUCGCGGCCGGCAUUGCCGGCCCGGGACGUGAUCUUGCGUUGCAUUGCGGGCAGCUGAGAAAGACCCUCACCACCGGAACGAGAUAAUGCUCGCGUCGGGAGUGUGUUUCCGUGCCUGCGCGUGCGUGCGUGCGGCGCCUGGCGCGGCUGACACCCUUCCCAUGGGUCGGCCGCGUCUGGCGUCCGCCGCCGCCGUCGCCUUCCCCCCCUCUCCCAUCUCGCCGGUGUCAUCUUCAGACUCGACAUUGCUAAUUGGCAUCGGCUUCUCUCGCUCUCUGGCGACGACUGCUGCGGCGCUGGCCUUAUCAUUCGGGCAUGUCACUGACGGUAAGUGAGAAGGCUUCGGUUUUGUGCCGUCAACUUCUAGGGUGUCUGCGCUACUGCGUAAGAUGCCGCCCUGCCUGCCUGUGUCCAGCGCUGGCUUCUUCCGCCCAUCCGCAACCCGCCCCUCAUCCUGCCUGCUUGCGGUGCUUGCGCGCGCAUUGGGGUCUCCUCCUCCCCCUCCCCUCUCUCCUCACCCCUUCCCGGGCCACGCUGCCUCCGUGCAAUGCGUUGGGCGGCACACAGCCCCUCGCAUCGGCCCGCGCCCGCGCUGCUCGCCCGCCCGCCUCCUCCCCCCUGCCCCUCCUUUCUCAACCUUCCAGAACCUUCUUCACCAAAGAUGGCCAUCAAGAUGAACCUCGCCUCCUCCAAGGUCGGCGCCAAGGCCUCCGCCAAGUCCGUCCGCGGCGCCCGCCUGGUGGCCCGUGUGGCCCAGCCCAUGUCCCCCAGCAGCGCCGCCACCGCCGCCGCCGAUGCCUCCAUGCUGGCCCGCGCCGGCCUGCCGCCCACCACCACCCCCUACGACGACUACAAGUUCGCGCCCAUCCGUGAGGCCGAGGUGAGCGCGUGAUCCUCGGGCGUGUAGGAGCAGUGCCGACCUUGGGCCAUAUUGCCUGCUUGGGAUCCAUCAUGCCAGCAGCUUGGGUUCUUCUUGCGUUUUUGCUUCCCUCCCAUCCCCCACCACAUCCCCCACCACCGUUCCUACCCCGACCCUUGUUCCCCCCCACCUUCCCCCCACCCGCUCGCCCGCAGGUCAACCGCGCCAUGACCCGCCGCUACUUCAAGGACAUGGACGAGUUCGCCGAGUCCGACGUGGUCAUCGUGGGCGCCGGCAGCGCCGGCCUGGCCUGCGCCUUCGAGCUGGGCCGCAUCGCGCCCCACCUGAAGGUCAGUCAGUGCGCAGGCUGAGAGGGUUAGGUGGAUUGUGCACGUUUGCUGCCUGCCAGCAGCGUGUAGGACGGCUUGGCUUCGAUUGAACAAGUGUGGGAAAGGUGGUGCGCUGUGAGUACGUGUGUAUGUUGCUUUCGCGCUGCCUCCUUCCCCGCUCCCUCGUUCCCCGGCCACCACCUCGCCGCCGUAUUCAUACGUCUCGUGUGCCCGCCACCCCAUCCUCUCUUCCCACUGCUCAGGUGGCGCUGAUGGAGCAGUCUGUGGCCCCCGGCGGCGGCGCCUGGCUGGGCGGGCAGCUGUUCAGCGCCAUGGUGGUGCGCAAGCCCGCCCACGAGAUGCUGGACGCCCUGCAGGUGAGGAGGAGGCAAUAUGAGCGAUCCAUUGUCUUCCAAGAAAGUUUCUUUGGUUGCCACUGUGGUCUUGCAUGCUUGCCCUAGCCCCCUAGUUAAGAGGCAUGUGGCCCGCGCGAUUCCCUCGCUCCCCCUUCUGACCCGGUCCCUUCCCCUCCCCUCCCUCUCACCUCCCCCGCGCCACUCGCCCCAGGUGCCCUACGAGGACGAGGGCCACUACGUGGUGGUGCGCCACGCCGCCCUGCUGACCUCCACCCUGAUGAGCCACGUGCUCAAGGUGAGGACACUGCAUGUGUUUUCCUGAACUUGUAAUGCUAUACGGUAUGCGUGAGCUGUCGCCACUAUGCCCUACUCCUCUCCGCGGUCUUGCUGUCUCCCUUACCUUUUCGUCUCUUCCCCACCUGUGUGCUGCACUACAGAACCCCAACGUCAAGCUGUUCAACGCCACCGCUGUGGAGGACUUGAUCGUGAAGCCCGACCCCGCCCUGGGCCCCGGCGGCCGCCGCGUGGCGGGCGUGGUGACCAACUGGUCGCUGGUGGCGCAGGCGCACGGCACCCAGUCGUGCAUGGACCCCAACGUCAUUGAGGCGGGCGUGGUCGUGUCUGCCUGCGGCCACGACGGCCCCUUCGGCGCCACCGGUGAGUUGCAUGUUUUUGUGUCCGGUACCUAUUUUCCAUUGUUGUAUGCGUGUCUUGUGUGUUUCCGACCCACCCCUGGCCUGCGCUCUCGCCUCUUGUUUCUCACCUGCUUUCUCACCUGCUGCUGCCUCCACCCGCCCCCGCUGCCUACCUGCCGCUGUAGGCGUGAAGCGCCUGGCCCGCCUGGGCAUGGUGCCCGGCGGCGAGGUGCCCGGCAUGGGCGCCCUGGACAUGGAGGCCGCCGAGGGCUCCAUUGUCAACAACACCCGCGAGGUGAGCUUGGAGAGGUGGUGUUGAUUGCUGUGUUACAUAGGCCGGAAACAGCAGAGGGCCGCUGUCGCACAGCCCGCGUCCCAGCUUCUUUUGGCCUUGCCUGUGCCUCUGCUUAUGGCCUCCCUCACCUGGCUCGCUGCCUAGUUUUCUUACGGUCUUGCGUUCCCCUCCCCUCUCCCCCUCGCCCGCCCCAAUCACACCUCUAUACAGGUGGUGCCCGGCAUGGUGCUGACCGGCAUGGAGCUGGCGGAGGUGGACGGCUCGCCCCGCAUGGGCCCCACCUUCGGCGCCAUGAUCGUGUCCGGCAUGCGCGCUGCCCACAUGGCCGUCGCCGCUCUGGAGCGCCGCCGCGCCCUGUCCGCCGCCGCCGCCGAGGGUGCCGCCGCCGAGGCCCAGGCCUAAGCGCGCUCAGAACCUACUGGGCUGCGGCUCAUAUUGGGGUUGUUGCAACCCGUGGCCUGGUGUGGGUCUGCUGGUCAGUGUUGGGGCUAGGCGCAAUAGGGCGUGGGUCGCUGGGCACUGCGUCGCGAUUUCGUCAGGCUCCGAUGUCUUGUGGCUAGCACGUUUUCGACCGUGAGCGCAUGUCGGGUUCCGGUCCGGUAGCAACGUGCAAGACUCGGGUUUUGUUGAUGGAAUGUGUCCACGGGUUGAGGUUGAACGCACUCGUACUGGCGCCUGGGAGUUUGCGGGAGGAGUUGUCGUGUGGAGUUCAGCUCGGUGCCCUAGCCGACUGGGGAGCGCAGCAGUGCAUGACGAACUCCGCCGAUGUGGAACCCUUGGGGAUAAAAUGAUGGAACGCGUGAACGGUGACCGAACGCAAGCGCACCCCACCACUGGCGCACAGACCCACGCCAUGAGCUCAUGUAACAAUUUGGAGUUGAGAGAAGAUACACGUGCCUCACCACUCUAGGCGAGGCAGUGACGAGUUCGUGGCCCUUUUUAAGAUUGGGACACAAGUGUGUGUGCGUGGGCUGACCCUCAGGCUGUCCGUUGUCAGCAGCUUCGGUAAUUCACA
rnacentral:lncRNA from 1 species